GGGACUGAAAGUUUGUUCAUAAUCAAUUCCUCUUCGUUGCCUUAUUUUACUAGGAGUCGUGCUUUAUACUUUUUAAUUGCCCCUUAGAUCAGGAUUCUGUAAACCCACUUGAAAGGUAGUCCGUACAACGUCUACACGCCUUUUUCUGUAAGUGACUUUAAUUCACGAUUCAUCGUUGCACUUUGCCAGUUCUUGUGAUUUUCUCUCUUCAUUGCUUCCUGGAACGUACCUAUUUGGGAAGGCUGAGCUUACAAGGCAAACAUACCCGUUAUUCUUCUUGAGGUACGUAAUCACUUCUCUGCUUCUGAGCUUGUGCCUCGGGUCUUCAACACGUGAACGUCGACUCGUUUCUCAGGCACUUCGACAACAGGUGAAUCCACUUCAUGAUCGUGAUCUUCAUUUUCAACAAGUGUAGGAUGUUCAUCAGGAGCUGGCUGAAACACUGCCUCUCCCUCUAGAGCUUGAUUAGGAACACUAUCCUCUGAGUGUAGGUACAUUCGGGUUGAUUUACAAUUGGAUUCACUCCUACCUUUUUUUUUCAUUCCAUUGAUUUGGCAUCCUCGUUGAAAUGUUAAAUUCAACAUCUGUUUCCGAUAACCAUCGUCAUUUUUAUAUCCAACCAGCUUGCCCCAUAACAGCUUUUCCACGCUUUUGAUUUGGAAUGUGAGUGUCGCAUUCACUUUCAAUUAUUCGUAGGUGUUAGAUCUUGGGCCAUUGUUCUCAGUUUCACCGGUGCAAUUUAGGGCAUUCGCGGCUGUAUUUAAAUUCUUAAAAAUUCCCAUUCUUCUCAUUUAUGAUUCUUCACAAUGUCCGUACCUUUCCCUUUAGUAGGAACUGUCGUGCCUUCUACUGUCUUAACCUUGUGACUUGAAUCAAAUUCAUGAAACACGUUACUUGUGAUAGCAAUUGUCGACGUACCAAUUUUCCUUGGUCUUUUUAGACUCAUAGAGCAAAACAUUUACCAUUAACGUAAUAUUCUGAACUUGAUUCCGAUCUUAGAGCCAUAGUAGCACUCUCCCUUUUUCUUUGCUUUUGGCAUAACUUCUUUUUUCUGACUAGGAACUCUUGAUUUGCACUCGUACCUAUAUACUUGUCCUCCAGUGCAUCUAGGAUUGUGCAGAUUAGGAACAGCUAUCUAUAUGCAAUUCCUGCCAGACUUCACACUCUCUCUGUCUCAGAUCAUUACCCUUUUUAAUUAUCUUCUGUCAUGUUCCUUGUGAAAAUGAGCAGAGCGCUACUUUCAGACUUCUUGUGCUUGGCUAAUCGCAAAGUAUAAUCACCGAUGGAUUUAUCUUCAAUUGGCUUCUUCAGCUUACCUUCGACGUCCCCCAUGGCACCUUCCGUAUCACGUAGUGUUAUAGCUUCUAUUUACCAGUUUCCGAUUUGAAGUUUUGUCGAAAAUCCUUCCAUCUUGAACCUGUUACGUACCUUACGACUUCUCCAGUCCUGGGCCUAAUAAUUUAAUAUCCAGGGUUGUAGCCCCCAUAGUCUCCCCCUUAAUCCAACGCCGCCGACGACCUCUGCGAUGGAUCAGAUCGAAUUCAAGCCUGCCUUCGACCCAGUUCAACGAUUAUAAUGGACUUGGUUCACGCAAACGAGUUAUUGGUAAUGGCGUUCGAGGAGAAUGCACACCAGUAGCCCGUGGUGAUCGUGAACUCAUGGUGAUGGUGCUUCUUCCUAAGCAAAAGUGGAUUAACAUAAGGCUAAAGAUUUUUGAUGAGCGGCCUUAUAAAGGUAGGAUUUUUCUUUUCUAUGCAUGGUUGCAUUAUUUUGCAACAGUGGGGGAAAGUGAAGUGUAUAGUGCGACUAAAAGUGAUCUUUAAUGACUUGUGGAAACCGGCUCAGUUUUUCAACUGGGUUGAUUCUUCCUAAGGUCUCUCUCUCGGCAUCAAUCAGUUUGCUUUGUGUCGAUCGGCAUGACUAUGACUUCAUAGCCAUGCCGAUUUUACGAAGCGAAGUGAUUUUUCUGCGAAUCUCACUGUGAUAAAAGAAUGAGGUCAACUCUUUUAUUUCUAAGAUGAGAUCGAUGGCUUUUAACGUUUUUAAGUUUCUAUCACUAAUGAUGAAUAAACGAAUACGCUUUAUAGCAUCUUUCAGGAGCAAUCUCCUACUAAUCUUCUCAUUGUUCUCAGAACUACUGGCAGGCUUACUGUAAGACAUGGCACGCGAACUGCAUCUCUACUGGUUAGGAGAUCUCUUCCUACUUGAUCGUGUUUAAACAAAGUUAAGUACACCACUGUCUCGAUCUACGUGAAAAUUUUGUCUGGAGCACUGAAUGUGCACUGACCACAAAUUUAAAGUACGUAAAUUGGUAACUUUUUACAUUUUUGGGAUCCAUAAAAUUUGUUUUGAAGAUUAUUCAGUGCUCCAGAAAAAAUGUUCCCCCUGCUCCAUCUGUCCAUAACUUUGCGCCUUCGUCAACUAGUUUCUAUUAACAGCAUCUGUAGAGAUAGCUCGACCUUUCUAAGACUUGCGGUAAAGAAUUAAUUUGGUCCCAUAGUGUUCAUUCUCCCUCUUGUCUUCUCAAAAGGAUUCAAUGCAGGAAACUUCUUCUUUAAUGAAUGCCAUGCGGCAUUUUAACGGUAAUUUAUUGAAUUGUAACAGUUAAGUGCGUAUACAGGGUGAACAAGUUAGCAAUCGCGUUAAAGGGGGCAAAAUAAGUACUUUCGUCUAAUACACCAUAUAUGUCGUCAGCGCUUUUGUAAGGAACUGGGUAUCCUGGUCAUUGACGCUUGCCCGUCCAGUAGUCUCGUAUAGUCCACAGGGUGGGACGAGAAGUAAAUGUGGGGGAGGCGCGGGUGAAAAAGUUCUGAUGGCUAAACAUAUUCUAUACUCCUCAGACUUCUGGGUACUGCGGGAAUGAGAUCGGUAAUUAGAAUGAGAAGGGGAAUGGGAAUGAAAAUCCUUGGUACACAUUUUAUUUGAGAUAGCGUGGUACGGGGUUGUGUGGCGGGUGUGGAAUAUCCCUCAGUAUACAGUGGUUCGUGGUAACCUCCCCAAAUUCACGUAAGCACCCCUGUUUUCGAAUCUCUACUCUUAAGGCUUCACAGUCCCAAACAGACCGACGUACAUAAAGAAUGAAUUUAUGAAUAAGUUCCAACCGGCCAG